UGUUUCCCUGGCAGGCGCGCAGUGGCAAGCGCUGAACUCUGCGCUGCGCAGGGGUGGGGAGCAGAAAGUGCGUAGAAGUGUUGCUAGUCCCACUGGACACCGUGCUGUCACGCACAAGUUGCAGCGAACUUUCCCCACCGUUAAGAAGGACCAAGUAGGGUGGAAGAUUAACCGAAACUGCAGUUUCAGAUUUGACACGCCUGUACGUCUGUCAGAUUUUACCAAGAUGGAGAGCUAUGGGAAAGCAAGGAUGGAGGCAGACAUUUGGGCCAGUGACUGAUGUGCUGUGUAGUUCGUUUGCAUCCUAUGUCAGGCCCACAGUCUGACGGAUGUUUUCUGGGGCCAUUGUUCGGUGUUUGUGUGCAGCACACCCUGGGAGUUUGCAGUUUUGAUUACUUUUGUGAUGAUACAAAAGACAGUGCAACACUUUCCUUAGCCUCCAAAACUGAUCAAUGUUUGAUUGGAAAAUCACCUGAUUUUGA